CUUAAAAAUAGUGAUAAAACAUAGUUCUUUCGCUAAUGUAAGUUGCCAAAUAUAGAUUUGAAUCGUUGCAACUGUAAGAAGGCAUCGGCAUUUAUGAGAACCUACGCUAAGUCGCGUUAAGUUUUGAGUCGAAAUACAUACCAUCAGAAAAUGCAGAUGGCUGAGAAAUUCUUCGUCGAAAGUAGAUUAAGUAAUUGUGCGGCGAUCGUGAGAUGUGUACAGGAGUUGGAUUGUGUGUUGCAAGCGAAUAGACAAAUGCUUCUGGAAGCGAGAUUAACCCUUCUUUGGGCAUUGAAUUGUGUCAAGAACAGCACAUUAUUAUGAUCAAAAUAAACACUUUUUGGAGUUUGGAGGUUCCCA